AGCUGAAGAGGGGAGAGAGACACCCCCCCACCCCCAUAUGAGGAUGGUCUGUGAUGAUAUGCAUGCAGGGGAAGGGACUUAUCCAAGGUCCCUGAUAGGUAGGGACUGGAAUUUUGGCAGUGUCUUUUCUAGAGUAGAACAAAUUUAUCAGUUGAAUUUGCUGUAGUUCUCUGAAGGUUUCUUUGGCCACAUUAGAAUUUUUGAGCCCUGGCAUCCAUGUAGGUCAACUUCAAAAUGGCUGUGUGCUCCACUCAGAGAUUCUGCUGUGAAGACCGGCAGGAGAUUUUUUAGCCUAUUUUGAACUCCAAGUGUUCCAGUUCCUCUUGCUUUCCAGAGGUGUGAGCACCUGGAAGCCCCUGCUCUGGUCUACACCCCAGGCUCAAGAUUCAUCCUGCUCACUCAGCCACUCAUGCUGUCACCAGAGAUAAAACUGUUGUCUUAGUCUUUGCUCUCAGCAUCGGUGCACUUGUAAUAUACUUCAUAGAUUCGUCAAACCCAAUAGAAUCCUGCCAGAAUUUCUACAAAGAUUUCACAUUACAGAUCGACAUGGCUUUCAACGUGUUCUUCCUUCUCUACUUUGGCUUGAGGUUUAUUGCAGCCAACGAUAAGUUGUGGUUCUGGCUGGAAGUGAACUCUGUAGUGGA
rnacentral:sRNA from 1 species